UACAGGGGGUGCAAACGUUGCUCGGAAUUACUGGGCGUAAAGCGCGUGUAGGCGGCUCGGAAAGUCGGAUGUGAAAGCCCUGGGCUUAACCUAGGAAGUGCAUUCGAAACUCCCGAGCUUGAGUUCUGGAGAGGAAGGCGGAAUUCUCGGUGUAGAGGUGAAAUUCGUAGAUAUCGAGAGGAACACCGGUGGCGAAGGCGGCCUUCUGGACAGUGACUGACGCUGAGACGCGAAAGCGUGGGGAGCAAACAGG
rnacentral:rRNA from 1 species